rnacentral:rRNA from 1 species
GACGAACGCUGGCGGCGUGCCUAAUACAUGCAAGUCGAGCGAAGCGGCUGAUGGGUUAGUAACUCGUGGGUAACCUGCCCUUAAGUCUGGGAUACCAUUUGGAAACAGAUUCUAAUACCGGAUACUAUAGGAUGGACCUGCGAUGCAUUAGCUAGUUGGUAAGGUAACGGCUUACCAAGGCGAUGAUGCAGAGCCGAGUUGAGAGAAUGAUCGGCCACAUUGGGACUGAGAAACGACCCAAACUCCUACGGGAGGCAGCAGUAGGGAAUCUUCCACAAUGGACGAAAGUCUGAUGGAGCAACGCCGCGUGAGUGAAGAAGGUUUUCGGAUCGUAAAGCUCUGUUGUUGGGGAAGCGGUAAUCAACCAGAAAGUCACGGCUAACUACGUGCCAGCAGCCGCGGUAAUUC